rnacentral:rRNA from 1 species
UACGGAGGAUGCGAGCGUUAUCCGGAUUUAUUGGGUUUAAAGGGUGCGUAGGCGGACUGUCAAGUCAGCGGUAAAAUUGAGAGGCUCAACCUCUUCCCGCCGUUGAAACUGGUGGUCUUGAGUGGAUGAGAAGUACGCGGAAUGCGUGGUGUAGCGGUGAGAUGCAUAGGUAUCACGCAGAACUCCGAUUGCGAAGGCAGCGUACCGGCAUCCAACUGACGCUGAGGCACGAAAGCGUGGGGAUCAAACAGG